GAAUGUGUUUAAUGUUUUGAUCGGGACAGAAGAGCGGUGUUUGACCCGCGUCUAUGCCGCCUCACAGUCACCCAGUUGACCUGCUCCAGAGGCAUUGUAACCAUAUGUAUAUUCUGUCCUGAAUAAUGGGACAUUUGAGGACAGUCAAACACUCUAAAGCCAAAAGCUAGUUCUAUUCUUCACCUUUGCCUUCUAAAUGAACCCAAGAAGCCCUUCUGAGUUCCCCGCUGAUCCUGGUGCUCUCAUCCAGCUCACAGACUCAUUACAGGAGAGAAGGGAUUUCUGGACACUGCCCUGGCAACCCGGAAUGGGAAUGUGCAUGAGAGCGAGACAGCGAGACUGAGAAGGAGUGGAGGGGGUCUGCGGUGAGGAGCCGCUUAAACGCCACCCACGGACCGUCCAUAUGCUUCUGUCGUGAGGAACUCCAGGAACGCAGCAGAAAAAUGCCUGGAAUUCCUGAUGGGAAUCUGAUCAAGCUUACAGCUGGAAAGUGGAAGGUGUGUUAUUGUGGCGUGAUGUCGUGCCUGAGGCUGCAGUUUAUUCACACAGAGGGAAGAAGAGGACAAAGAUCUGCCAUCAUCAUCAUCACAUCUGAACAGAUGAGCUUCAUCUGACGUCUAAUGACUCACAGCAGCUGCUGUCGCCGCGUCCGGGCCUCUGGGUUACUCUCAGAUAAUAAUAAUACAGAUGAAGAAACUUUAGUCUAUUUACCUUACCUUACCUUGUUCACUGUGUGUGAGUUUCAAUAAAUCUCAGUAAAGUCUCA